rnacentral:rRNA from 1 species
UACAGAGGUGGCAAGCGUUGUUCGGAAUUACUGGGCGUAAAGGGCGCGUAGGCGGUGUGUCGCGUCGGCCGUGAAAACCUGCAGCUUAACUGUGGGCGUGCGGUCGAUACGGGCAUCACUGGAGUUCGGCAGGGGAGACUGGAAUUCCUGGUGUAGCGGUGAAAUGCGCAGAUAUCAGGAGGAACACCGGUGGCGAAGGCGGGUCUCUGGGCCGAUACUGACGCUGAGGAGCGAAAGCGUGGGGAGCAAACAGG